GGCAGGACACCGAUCAGGCAGGGGCGUGGGAGACCCCGUCCGCCCCCCACCCGGCUCCCCUCCUCCGCUGCCCCACCGCGAGGCAGCCUCUGCACGGGAGCUUGUCCUGGGCCCUCCUGUUUGCAUCCAUCCGAACGUACUGACCGCCUGGCAGGACCUGAACCUUCAUGGCCAGGUGCCUGCUUCCCUCCCAGAUUCAGUCUGGACACACAGAGAGACGGCAGGGUUGCACACGCUGGGUUAGAAAAGACCACAGGACGACGCAGGCAGGCAGCCGCCUGCACGCGGAGGAGAGAGGCCUCCGGAGAAAACAAGCCUGCCCACACCCCGAUCUGGACUCCGGCCCCCCAGUCGUGAGAAAUCAAGGGGUGCUGGUUAACCUCGAGGUGGGUGGUAUUUUCCCACAAUAGCGGGAGCAGACACACGCACUGCUUCCAAGCAUCACCUCUACGCCCCCGCCACAACCCCGCCGCACUCCCCCACUUCCUUGUGCUCCGGCCGCUGGAAUGGACGCUCUCCUUUUCCCACGCCUCCUCCUGCCACAGAGGGCUCAGGGCCCUGCCGCGGUGUCUUCCCUCGCACCCACACACCUGGCCACUGGAUCCUCUGGACAGGUCCUCAGCAUUCCCCUACCUUGCCCUCCCCUUGCCCGCUCCCCCCACGCCUCUCAGGACUCCCUCCACUAGGAUGCUCUCUUGAGCCUGCCUUGCUCCCCCCUCAUGGCACUGACGCCCUCUGUGCUCCUCACUCUGAAAGCAGCAUUUCCAGCUUCUGCUUUGGGGUCUCCGAGGGGACCCAGGGGCACUUCCCCCAAACCCACUUGCUGCUCUGCUCCCAUCAGGCCUCGGGCCCUCUGUCACCUGCGCUGAGCCCUGCAAGCUCCCAACACUGUAGGCAGCAGGAGUUCCGAGCACCUAACUGAGGAGGUCUGGUGCCUACUUAAAAUCUUGCAAUAGCUCCCCACUGAAAAAACGUGCAUCACUUAAGGGCCUUCCUGGGCUGUGAAUAAACGUCCUGCUCUUCCCUCCCACCGGAGCUCAGCUCAUCACCCCUCCCCCCCUUACAUUUCAAUGGCUAUCACACUUUUUCAGAUUCUAGAGCAUGCCACGUGGAGGUCCCCUCUGGCUUUGCAUCCGCUGUGCCUUGCCUCCUAGGGCUCUCUGCUCUCAAGCCCCCUUCUCAUCUCCUGGGUUGGUUUCCAUGUCCCUCCCAGGCCCACCUCCACCUUCCACCAGCCCUGCUCCCGCUCAGGGGCUCUGGGCUCCCCCAACACUCCUCCCGGCCCCCACCCCAGCCCUCCUCCUACUGCUCUGUGACGGGGCCACCUGCUUCUUCUUUAGGCUUCUAACACCAGGAUAUCUCCAGCUUCAAUCUGGCCUCAUCUUGCUCAUUCUGCAACAUGAUGUGCCCUUGCUUUUGUGCUGAGCUUGUUUUAAGUGGCAUUUUAUGUGGUUGCUGAAGAAAGGCAUGUUUCAUACAGACCCGUGAAAAACAAAAGCAGAAAGGUGUUAAAAAAAAAAAAAA